rnacentral:misc_RNA from 1 species
GGGAAGUGCAUACUAUGUGGCACCAGAAGUUCUCCACAGAUCUUACAGUUUGGAAGCAGACAUCUGGAGUAUUGGGGUGAUUACCUACAUUUUGUUAUGUGGAAGCAGACCAUUCUGGGCAAGGACUGAAUCUGGGAUUUUUCGCUCAGUAUUGAGAUCUGACCCCAACUUUGAAGACUUGCCUUGGCCAUCUGUGUCUCCCGAGGCCAAGGACUUCGUAAAGAGGCUUUUAAAUAAGGACUAUCGUAAGAGGAUGACUGCUGCUCAAGCUUUGACGCAUCCAUGGUUGCGCAGUGAAAGCCAUCCUAUUCCUUUGGAUAUAUUUGUCUAUAAGUUGGUGAAGUCAUAUCUGCAUGCUACACCUCUCAAACGUGCAGCACUAAAGGCUCUUUCUAAAGCUUUAACGGAAGAUGAACUGGUUUACCUAAGAGCUCAAUUUAUGCUUCUGGAACCUAGUCAAGAUGGUCGUGUCUCGAUUGAGAACUUCAGAUUGGCUCUUUUAGGAAAUGCUACUGAAGCUAUGAGGGAGUCGAGGGUGCAUGAUAUUCUGAAUGCGAUGACAGCAUUGUCC